GAUGAAGAACGUAGCGAAAUGCGAUAAGUAAUGUGAAUUGCAGAAUUCCGUGAAUCAUCGAAUCUUUGAACGCACAUUGCGCCCGCCGGUAUUCCGGCGGGCAUGCCUGUUCGAGCGUCAUUUCAACCAUCAAGCCCCAGGCUUGUGUUGGGGACCUGCGGCUGCCGCAGGCCCUGAAAACCAGUGGCGGGCUCGCUGUCACACCGGGCGUAGUAGAUUUUAUCUCGCUCAGGGCGUGCUGCGGGUUCCGGCCGUUAAAAAGCCUUUUUUACCCAAGGUUGACCUCGGAUCAGGUAGGAAGACCCGCUGAACUUAAGCAUAUCAAUAAGCGGAGGA
rnacentral:misc_RNA from 1 species